rnacentral:RNase_P_RNA from 1 species
GUGGAAGACGAGGGUCGCCGCCAUCCCCGCAAGAGGGUGGGGGAGGAAAGUCCGGACUCCAUAGGGCAGGGUGUCCCGUGGAAGACGCGGGAACGGCACUGCCAUACCGGUGCCGAUGGAAAGUGCCACAGAAACAAACCGCCAGCCGGCCGCAAGGCCGGAGGCAAGGGUGAAAAGGUGGUGUAAGAGACCACCGGACCGGGUGAGAGCCCUGUCGCCAGGUAAACCCCACCCGGAGCAAGAUCAAAUAGGAAAACGAGGGUGCGGCCCGCACCGUUCCCGUUCGCGGGAGGCGUUUUCGGGUUGAUCGCGUAGAUAAAUGACCUGAACCUGCACGCAGGCUUACAGAAUCCGGCUUAUGAGUUUUUCACGACG